rnacentral:lncRNA from 1 species
AUGAUCGUGCAGAACAUGAAGAAGAAGAAUCUGAAGGAAAUGGAGAUCGCCUUAACUGUUUUCCAAGAGGAAGUGCUUUCAAAUAAACACAUCAUUGACAAGAUCAAAGCAGCAUCAGAAACUACAGACCAAGUGGCAUUUCUCAAGGACUUCAAGAACCUGAUGGAAAAUGUCAAGGAGUGUCAUCCAGAGGAGGUUGAAGAUGAUGGCACCAGUGGAGAUGACGAGGAAGGGCCAGAGGAAGAUGGGAGUCAUGAAGAGCAAAGGGAUAUGCCUGCCAAAGAAGAUGCUGGAAAUAAUGAAGAAUUGCUUGAAUUAUCUUCUUCUUCUUCUUCGGGGGAGGAGGAGGAGGAGGAGGAGGAGGAGGAGGAGGAUAGUAAUAGUGGUGCUAAGAACAGAGUGGUAUUUUUGGAUGUGGCUCUGGAAAAAUUCAUGACCUCCUUGGACUUUAAGAAUUGGAAGAAAAUGUUGGAGGAUAUUAAACCCACCAUUCACCCCACUGUCCUAGGGAGUCACAGGCGCUGAGCCUCACCCCAUUCUGCAGCAAAUAAGCAGCCCCAGUGCAGUUAGCUGGCCAACUUGAAGUGACGCCCUCUAGUGCUGACACUGGUUCCCCAUCUCCCUCGUAACAGUUCUGCCAGGACCAUUUUCUUUGCAAGGCACGGAGGGCAUUGCAUACCUGGAAGCUGUUUUUCUGCUUGUCCCCUGGAGCCAGCACCACCCACAGAAUGCAAUUCAUUCUGUGCAUCCCGAGUCUCUGGGUACUGGCCUGAAGGCACUGUGUUCUCUUAGCUGCAGUUUUUGACCACAAAUAAAGAUUGUAUAAGCCAGCAUUUCUCGAGUCCCUCUUCUCUU